rnacentral:lncRNA from 1 species
CCCCCUUUGGCCUGGUUUCAGCUGCUCCUGGAACAUCUGGAGUUCCUUGUCUCCAGGCAUGAACGCUCUCUUGAGACGACUGUGAUGAAGCGGCAGGCGCGGUGUCCUGCAGGUGUGUCCACUGAGAUGGAAGUGCUAAAAGCACUGACAUCCUUAUUUGAGCACCACAAGACCCUGGACGAAAAGGUGCGAGACCAAUUACGUGUAGCACUGGAAAGGUGCAGCUUGUUAGAAGAGGAACUGGGCGCCACACACAAGGAGCUAAUGACUCUUAAAAAACAGAAUAAUCAGAAAAAAUCACCAAGAGAUGGAGUGCUUGACAUAAACCACGAACAAGAAGAAACACCAAGCACUAAUGGAAAGGUAAGUCCUUGAGCUCUCUCUUUGUUCUGUUGCUGAUUUCUUAUAUUUCGUGGUUCCUGUGUGAUGCUGUUUGGAUGCUGUUGCUGGAAUGGCCUGCAUCCAGCUAAAGUGAUUGUUGAGAGUCCUAUCAUCCAACAGAUGGCAUAAAUCCAUUUUGAUAGUCCCUAUGUUCAAAAGUAUUUUAUUUGGUAGUACACUAAGGUUAUUUAAGAGUGUCCAUUUUACCCAUCAGAGAUCUUCUGCUGGCUCCUUAAGCCAUGAGGAAGACCUUGCCAAAUUAAUUGUGCUCCAAGAAGUCAUACACAAACAUUCAAAAGAGCAGAGUCAGAUGAAGGAGCGCCUGGCUGCACUUUCCAGCCAUGUGUCAGAGCUGCAAGAAAA